AUGUUCGAUCCUUCGGUGGUAGAGCACAAAACCUUUAUUGAGAAGACUUACAAUGACCAAGGCCAACAGAGGACGGACAGAGAUAUAAUCAAAGAGCACAACUCAUGUUUCACGUGUUGGUUCAAGCAAAAGCUUCUGUCGUACCCUUUACAUGAGGAUUCUUCCACGGAAGAACAACUCAUAGUCACCUUGUCACAGGGUGCCGAGCACAACCUGAUGACCUAUGAGGCGUAUGAUAUCAACGUCUACACAUUCUACAUCGAGGACAAAGACAUGAAGAGCGAUGGUUAUCAGAGCUCCGGGGUAACGGUGGAAUCCUACACCAGUAACAAGGACAUAUACUACGGAAGCAUCGAGGAGAUCUAG
rnacentral:rRNA from 1 species